GACGAACGCUGGCGGCGUGCUUAACACAUGCAAGUCGAACGGAAAGGCCCUGCUUGCAGGGUACUCGAGUGGCGAACGGGUGAGUAACACGUGGGUGAUCUGCCCUGCACUUCGGGAUAAGCCUGGGAAACUGGGUCUAAUACCGGAUAGGAGCCAUUUUUAGUGUGAUGGUUGGAAAGUUUUUUCGGUGUAGGAUGAGCUCGCGGCCUAUCAGCUUGUUGGUGGGGUAAUGGCCUACCAAGGCGGCGACGGGUAGCCGGCCUGGGAGGGUGGACGGCCACAUUGGGACUGAGAUACGGCCCAGACUCCUACGGGAGGCAGCAGUGGGGAAUAUUGCACAAUGGGCGCAAGCCUGAUGCAGCGACGCCGCGUGGGGGAUGACGGCCUUCGGGUUGUAAACUCCUUUCGCUAGGGACGAAGCUUUUGUGACGGUACCUAGAUAAGAAGCACCGGCUAACUACGUG
rnacentral:rRNA from 1 species